AGCGCAGGCGGGAAGACAAGUUGGAAGUGAAAACCAUGGGCUCAACCCAUGAAUUGCUUUCAAAACUGUUUUUCUUGAGUAGUGCAGAGGUAGAUGGAAUUCCCGGUGUAGCGGUGGAAUGCGUAGAUAUCGGGAGGAACACCAGUGGCGAAGGCGGUCCACUGGGCACCAACUGACGCUGAGGCUCGAAAGUGUGGGUAGCAAACGA
rnacentral:rRNA from 1 species